AUGUUUAAUUUAAAUAUUGCCAACCUCAGCAUCAAUGAGUCAGAGGAUAUUGAGGAUAAUGUGCUUAUCCCGCAGAAUUUUGUAGAUGAUGUUGUUGUUGGUUUUGAGGAUGAGUGCAAAGAAAUAGUGGAAAAGCUAGUUGACCAAAAGAAUGAAAAACUUAGUGUUGUCUCAUUGGUAGCCGUGGGUGGAGCAGGAAAGACUACACUCGCUAGAAAAGUGUACAAUUCACCUAGAGUUAAAGAAUACUUUAAUGAAUUUGCUUGGGUGACUGUAUCCCAAAAGUUCAAGGGCAUUGAUCUGCUAAAUGAUAUUCUGAAACAAAUAACGGGGGCCAGUUAUGAAUCAAGCAAGGCAACUGAUCAAAUCCGGGAGAAUGAGAUCGGGAAGAAGAUCCAUGACUUUCUAUUACAAAGAAGAUACUUGUUGGUUCUUGAUGAUGUGUGGGAGGCAGACACUUGGGAGCAAAUAAAUAGAGCAGCUAAAGUCUUUCCAGAUACAAAUAAUAGCAGUAGAGUACUGUUAACCACACGGAAAAAAGAUGUUGCGCAUCAUAUUCAAAUGCCAACUUAUGUUUGUGAUCUAAAGCUCAUGGAUGAAGAGAAAUCUUGGGAGCUUUUUAAAAGCAAAGCUUUACCAUCAUACAGAACGUACAUGAUUUGUAAUCCUGAUAAGUUUGAAGAACUAGGGAGAAAACUUGCAAGGAAGUGUGCUGGCCUGCCACUUGCACUUGCAGUUCUUGGGGGGUAUCUAUCGAAGAAUCUAAAUGUAGAGGCAUGGUCAGAUUUGCUUUUGGGUUGGACAUCCAUAGAAGAAGUAGAGGUGGUGGGACACAUACUAGCUCGGAGUUAUAAUGACUUGUCAAAUAAGUGGCGCAAGUCAUGUUUCCUCUAUGUUGCUUCUUUCCCAGAGGAUUAUCCUAUAACUGUGGCAGAUCUGAUUGAACUUUGGAUAGCUGAAUGCUUCAUUCCACAUACAACAAGGCAUAUAAUGGAAGAAACGGCACAGAGGUAUGUUACUGAUUUGGCUCAAAGAAACUUGGUGCAAUUUCACUUUGGAGUGGCAGCUGAUUAUAUGCCAAUCCAAACAAUAAGGAUUCAUGAUGUUCUACGUGAUUGGUGCAUAGAAGAAGCAAGAAGAGAUGGUUUUCUCCGUGUCAUUGACAAAACUACAGGCCAAGCUGGUGCAUCAUCUUCAGAUAUCAUGACGUCCUAUCGUUCUUGUUUUCAUAAUUUCUGUGAUGACCGGAUUCUUCAGGCAACACCUAACCUCCGAACAUGGAUUGGUUUGGGACUUUCAGAACUGUUCCUUCCAAAGCUAAGGUUCCUGAAAGUUCUUCACAUAGAAAAAUCAAGAAUCAAGAAUUUGAUGUUAAUUCGUGAGUGCAUUCACCUAAGAUACCUUAGGUUGAGGGAUUGUCACACUGUCACACUCCCUUCUUCUAUUGGACAACUCCAUUACUUGCAAACCGUAGAUCUGAGAGGCACAUCUCUGAGCAGAAGUUUACAAAUCCCUGUAUGGGCUAUCCCUAACCUAAGACAUCUUUACCUUGAUUCUGGAUCUUGUGGAACCAUUGAACGAGACCCGAUGCCACUCCUAGAGAAGCUUCCAUGUCUUGUGGUGCUGCAUCUAUGGAAUUAUUGA
rnacentral:rRNA from 1 species